GGUCUGUGUGGCUAGACACACGUUUGGGUUGCCUGCUCACAAUUCAUAAGCAUAAUUUUCACAUCAAGAAUCUAUCAUCAAUAAAGACCCUUAGUUGGGUUUGUCCCCUCUCAUGGCAAUGCUGAGACAAAGGCAGUUCACAAGCUCAGCUAAAUUUCAAGGGAGACAGAGACAUCCUUCCAUUGUCUUGGUGGACACUGCUGACUUUCCUGCUGAACUUGGCUCAUUCCCAUGCCAGAGACCGAAGACUCAGAAAGGUCAGCGCCCCAAGUCCUGGGUGGACCUCUUCCAGGUCAUGAUCUUGUGAUCUCUCUUCUUUCAGCCAGCCACGAAAUAUAACUUUUCUAAGGACACUGGCAGUAGAACUCAAACCUCAGGAGGUGAUUUCUUUAACAUAGCAACCUUUGAUCGUGAAAAAAAAAAAAAAUGAAGCUGUAAUACGGAUGGGGUUUCAUGUUAAACUCCAGUAAACCGUGGAAUGUUUUAAGAAGCAAAAGAUAAUGAAAGAAAAAUCAAAGGGUACAUCAUAAACCAAUCAGGGAAGCCUGCCUAACGAGAGAACAAGGCCUUGAUUCUUUGCCCCAAGGUCUGGCAGGGCUCCUUGGAACUGAA